UACAGAGGGUGCAAGCGUUGUUCGGAAUCAUUGGGCGUAAAGGGCGCGUAGGCGGCGCGGUAAGCGUGCGGUGAAAGCCCGGGGCUCAACCCCGGGUCGGCCGUGCGGACUGCCGGGCUGGAGCACUGUAGGGGCAGGUGGAAUUCCGGGUGUAGCGGUGGAAUGCGUAGAGAUCCGGAAGAACACCGGUGGCGAAGGCGGCCUGCUGGGCAGUAGCUGACGCUGAAGCGCGACAGCGUGGGGAGCAAACAGG
rnacentral:rRNA from 1 species